rnacentral:rRNA from 1 species
UGCCAGCCGCCGCGGUAAUACGGAGGGGGCAAGCGUUGUUCGGAAUUACUGGGCGUAAAGGGCGCGUAGGCGGGAUAUCAAGUUGGGGGUGAAAGGCCUGGGCUCAACCUGGGGACUGCCUCCAAAACUGGCAUUCUAGAGUCCGGAAGAGGAUGGCGGAAUUCCCAGUGUAGAGGUGAAAUUCGUAGAUAUUGGGAAGAACACCGGUGGCGAAGGCGGCCAUCUGGUCCGGAACUGACGCUGAGGCGCGAAAGCGUGGGGAGCAAACAGGAUUAGAUA